UUGUGAUCAAUGAACCCACGCAUAGUAAACCAGCUGCUCCAACCGAUGAAGAUUACCAAUGCAUAAAUCCUAACACAUAUGAGGGUGAGUUCUAUCAGGAAGAUGGGCUCAUAGGAGAAUUUAGUAUUCACUUGCCCACUGACGACGAUGAAAUGGAAAUAGACAGUGAGCAAGAUGAAGAUGAUGGCAUGGAAGGAGGCGAUGAGCCAGAUGUUGAUGAAAUCAUUGAAGACCCCAUGGACCUGAAUUUACUUGAACGAGUCCGUCUAGGUGAAGAUGAUGAGUCAGACGGUCCACCUCCAGACUACGAUUCAAGAUGGUGGGACGACAUGCGCGACAGCGACGAUGAAACUCCCGGGCCAACUGAUGAUCCAAACGAUGAGGACUAUGACUUUUGAAACUUGUAACAACUCUAUGUACCAUGAACUUGUACCAACAAGACGUGUGAUAGCGAUGAUGUAUUUUGGGAUGUAAACCAACUCUAUGUACUAUCUACUCCUAAAUGUGAACUUUGUCGAGUCUAAAUACUUGAUGUACUUCUAGAUGUAAGACAACUCUAUGUUCUAUGAACUUGUGCUUCUUGCCAAGAAGUUCUCG
rnacentral:lncRNA from 1 species